ACUUCUUGAUGAGAUAUGCACUUAUCUACCGUAGCUAAAUUUGGACACUUGUCACUUGAACUCUUCAUAACGUAGUUAAGUUAGUGGUUAUCAAGUCAGUCAGUAUGUAAUACAUGCAGACUCUGCAUGCCAAAAGUAUUUAGAAAGAGUUUCCUCCUUCCUUCGCGAGCAAAAUGGAAAUUUGUGAAGAAAUCGGAGAACUAUUUUGUGCUGAGGAUGAAAAAGAAAAAACAUGCUUACGUCUCACGUACAAAUUGAUUAACGAUAACAAGGAUUUGCAGCCCAUGAGAAAAUUUUGGACAAAUAAGCUCGCACUGAUAGCGAUUCGCUCGUUUGGAUGCGAUGCUCAUAAAGUGAUUCGCGUGAUGAAACGCCUCCUACACAGUUGCACCAUGUCGUAUCCUGACCUUUUUGCCUUGAUAAACUAUUCUAAACUUCAGCCAGUUUUGGACAAGAACAUUUUUCAGAUUAUUAACACCGGUGGGAACGAGGGGUGUAACAAGUCUCCAGGAAUGCUUGUCCUUAGGAUUAGUAAGGCACAUUUAUUAUUCAUCAAUUUGCACUAAAGAACUUUAAAUUUACAUAUUUAUCCAUAAGUAGUUAUGCGUGGGUUUUAUUUAUGGUGCAAGCACGUGCAAUUGAAACCGGGGGAAAGUUUUCUGUCUCUUUGGAUUUUCUCGAGAUUUUGAAAGUUUCCUAGUAUUUUCGAGCAUUUUUCGGAAAUGUUGAACAUUUGCAGGAAUUUUUUAAAUAUUUUGAUGCUCCGUUUCUAACGGCUGUGGGAAUUUUGCGGGAUUUUCUUUUCCUCCCCUUUUCCGGAAAUAAAGAAGAAAUCAAUCGAACCCACGGAGUUAUAUCGUUGGAAUCCCAACGAAGUCUCGCUCGAUGAAUUAAUUGCCGUUGGAGUUCUCUACGCUUAUACGGUCAUCAAGGAUUCCGCAGCGAUACAGAGGAACGGCGGGGUGCUUAUCAUAGAUGCGGAUGGAUUUAAUUUUAAUCACGUUAAAGUCUUAUCGUUUGACACGGUUAAAAAGAUGAACUGCUUGCUAAACACGUUGCCAAUUAAAUUUGUUGGUUCUGUAAUUAUAAACAGCCCAAAAGUGGUGGAACAAUUGUUUAACAUUUUCAAAUACGUGUUACGAGCGAAGAAUAGGAAAUUGAUUCAUGUCGUCCAUAAGAAUUUAAAGCCGCUACAUGACAUGCUUCCGGCUCCAGAUUCGCUACCAAGAUGUUUUGGAGGAAAGGUUGAUGACGAGAUUGGACUUUUACAUGGGGUCGAGGAAUUUAUGGGGGACGAUACAACGUUGUCACGUUUAGUGGAAGGUGUGCAAAAUGAGUACAAAAUGCGGUACAAGUGACCAAAUUGUUGUGCAAAUUCCAUACUUGUUGGCACAAAUUGUUUGCAAAAUUUUGAUUUUUUACACCCUUAAUUGGACCUCGGUGGUAUUCCCUUCAAAAUUCCACGUUCUGAGAACAAUUGGCUGACAACUUCUGGUCACAAUGGGACCUACAUAUCUACUAAUUUUAAGGACGCAGGGCUGUAUGUAAAUUGAAUAUGAUGCGGAAUCUCGCAUAAAAUAUAACUACCAUUUUGUAGAAACAUUUCGAUGGGAUAAUUUAAAACAAUUUAUAAAAUUUUAGACAUGGUCGUUAAGAAUAUUAUAUUUUAAUAGUUAGGUACGUACUUUUCUUUCAAACGAAUUUAUUAAAUCUGCCGUGUCACCGGAAAGAAUAAAUUUUAGAAAUGUGAUGAAUAAUAAAUUGCUCUCCAUUUAUGAAUACUGACAAGGGAACCUUUACAGGUGCUGGUAUUAUCUGCGAUAGAGGGUCAAAUUUCAUUCACUUUUUGAAAUUUUUUUGACAUGACGAAGCAUGAUUUUGAAAUAGAAGUUGCUUCCUAAUAAGUUUUAUUUUGUGCUAAUUUUGGUGGGGACAUCGUUUCGAAGUUCGAACUGCACGUGGGCAGGUUCCCUUGUCAGUAGCUUUAAAUAUAUAUCAAACUUUA